CAGCAGCCGCGGGAAAACGGAGGGUGCUAGCGUUGUUCGGAAUCACUGGGCGUAAAGGGCGCGUAGGCGGCCUGUUAAGUCGGAUGUGAAAGCCCGGGGCUCAACCCCGGAACUGCAUCCGAGACUGGCAGGCUUGAGACCGGGAGAGGAGGGUGGAAUAUCCAGUGUAGAGGUGAAAUUCGUAGAUAUUGGAUGGAACACCGGUGGCGAAAGCGGCUCUCUGGCCCGGAUCUGACGCUGAGGCGCGAAAGCGUGGGGAGCAAACAGGAUUAGAUACCCGAGUAGUCCCUGUCUCUUAUAA
rnacentral:rRNA from 1 species